UACGGGGGGAGCAAGCGUUGUUCGGAUUUACUGGGCGUAAAGGGCGCGUAGGCGGUCAGCACAAGUCAGUUGUGAAAUCUCCGAGCUUAACUCGGAACGGUCAACUGAUACUGUGCGACUAGAGUGCGGAAGGGGCAACUGGAAUUCCUGGUGUAGCGGUGGAAUGCGCAGAUAUCAGGAGGAACACCAAUAGCGAAGGCAGCUCGCUGGGACGUUACUGACACUGAGGCGCGAAAGCGUGGGGAGCGAACAGG
rnacentral:rRNA from 1 species